CUCUAAAGAUUCUCCCUCCCUCUCCCUUUAAUGCCUGCAUGUGUGGUGUAGCCCCCACAGCUCUGCCUUGGUUUGCCCUUAGAGGAUCCAUCCCCCCUUGAAAAGGACAAAGCAUGAGCUUUAGUGGGGAAGACACACUUCUAAUUUGGAUUUUUAAGAUGUAAAGAUCUACCUUUAAUCUGGGUCAGACUUUCUGCUGACAGCCUGUAUAAAGAACAUGGAAGAAGAAAGCUUGUCUCUCUCGGCCUGCUUGCCCUUGCUCUCCCGCUAAGGAGGCCCUCACCAGAAGCUGCCCAGAUUGUAGCACCAAGCACCUAGACUCCAGCCGCCAUCUGAGUCACAGAAAGCCAGCCAAGCGUGAAAGCCACCCUUCCCUGAAGAGUUCUUAUUUUUCCUGCAAAAGUACUGAGAAAGAAGGGCUGAGGAUGCGGCUCCAAGGCAGAAGACUUGUCUAGAAUGUGAAAUACCCUGCGUCCCAUCCCAAGCAUCACUAAAUAAAUACAUGAAUGAAUGAA